rnacentral:lncRNA from 1 species
UCGUGCCCUCUUCCGUUAAAAAAAAUUUGAAAGAGAGGGCACUGGUUUGGUUUGGUUUAGUUUUAGAUAUACAGUAAGCGGUUCGGUUCGGUUCAGAGUUCAAAGAGAGGUAUUUCAUUCGGUUUGUGGUUCGGUUUGGUUUAGAGUUCAGAGAGAGGUAUUUCAUUCAGUCCGGUUCAUAUAUAUAGAGACGAAAUAAGUGUGUAACAUAUUGAACUUUAGCAAAUUGCAAGGUUCGAGUGUUUGAUUAGUGUUUUGAGCUUUUUAAGAUUUUCUGGAGGGACGUUGACUGUGUUCCGA